rnacentral:lncRNA from 1 species
AGAGCCACUGAAGCAGAUCAAAAAGUGCCUCUCCAACUAGGGUCCAGCUGCACCCCAUUAUCAGAUUUCCAGAAUCACUUAUUUCUCUUCUAAGACCAGACCAUUUUGAGAAGUCAAGACCUUCGGUUGGACAGAGUAAAGAGCUUAUUUUCUUUUCUUCAGGUAGGAGGGGAUUGGGAAGGCAUUGGGAAAGCCCCAGUGAUGUGAGUCUUCCUCUCACCUGUGAGCACCUUGAGGGCAGAGCCUGGGUUUGCCAACCCAUUCUCAACAGACCCAAUGUAGAACUAUUAUAAACUAAACUGAAUCAGUCCCAUCUUAUGUCUGUGGAAGAGACUCAGUUAACUGCUUUAAUUAUGUUGAAAUUUAGGAUAGAUCCCUAAAAUACCAUACUUUGAGACUAUCUGAAGAACAGAGGAGCGAAUGCUGGACUUUAGGUCAAAGGCCUAUGUGGCAUUUCUGCCACUUACUGGUAAUGUGCCUGAGGGGAAGUCAUCCUGCCUCUCUGAAGCUUAGUGUCCUUGUCUUUAAAAUGGGAAUAAGAAUAACUGUCCUUCUACUUCACAGACUACUGUGAGAGGCAAACUUCAACGUGCAGAAAAUGCUUUGAAACGGGUAUCGUCACUAUGGGGAAGGUGCUAAUUUGGUGAAAGUUAAAGGAUGUUGACAAUCGUCCUCCAAUCUCAAACACCUUCCCAGCAGUGUUAUGACCUCCAAUGUCACUAACCUGGUUCACUAAAGCAACUUAUUGCCUUUAAAAAAUGCCCCGGGCAAAGUAAGAGCAUGGGCUCACUAUCAGGGAUUAGCUGAUGGCUACCAGAGAGCAGGAAGGGGUCAGGGUGAGGAGGGAGCAGGUGAGAAGCCAGAGAAUGAGGAACAGAGGACACAGGAGUGGAACAAAGCAGCCACGCUGAGGCCAGCCUCAUGGGUGACUCUUCUAGAGGAGAGAGAUGAAGAGGACCAGGCUGCGUUGAAAGAUGGCCCAGUACACUCCAGACCUGCAGGCUAAGGACAGUAUGGUU